GUAAGCAAAGAGGGGGCAGGGAUGGUACAAAAAAAAUGCACACAUUGUACGCCCUAUUUUUAUGAGUACUUGAGAGCAGCAGUGUGUGUGUUUUUUUUGGAGCUAAGGGUAAAGAAGCUGUGGGCAAGAGUAAGCGAGAGAAGAGUGAAGGGGCUGGAGGGGAAACCACCAGUGGAGGAGAGCAGAGCGCUGGGGCCGGACAAGAUGAAAGAGCGGGGUUUUUGAUAACUUCCUUCAAAGCGCCUCCAAAAGGUAAAAGUAUCCCGGAAGACGCAUACGACCACACGCUCGCUAUAUCGCGAGGUAAGCAUCCGGUGUCAGAGGUUUCUGAGAAGGCACUCUACAUCUGUCUCUUUUUUGGUUUUCUUCUCUUCGAACAGGACAAGAUGUUUCUUUUGUUCUCGAAACAACUCCCAGACAGGAAGCCAGGGCACAAGAUGAAGAUAAACUAGUUCCCUUCAUCAAAAAAGAAACAUUUCUGAGGCGUUUCAGGUUUUAGCUCCUACGAAAUGUUACAGCAGCCCUCUGCAAUAUAUUUCAGGAUUUAAGAAGGAGGAUGUUGUUGAUGAACACUGGCAGGCAAAGCAAACAAAUAAACUGCUUUUCCAUCCGAGGCUUGACCUCCUCGGUCAUGUACUUAUAUUAUCUCUUCUCCAGUGCAGUAUCAGUACUGGUCAUUACUAAGGGAACCAUCUGAAACAUUUUAAUUAAGGCCUGAAAGAGAAGAGCAGAGAAGAGGUACUACAGAAUGCCCUUCGAAGUACAAACGCACACUUCAUAUUUAUGCACAGCCACGACAGGCCUAAUCAAUCAUUAAUAUUCAACUGGUUAGACCAUCCUCAUACUCAGUGCAUGUAGACACACACACACACACAUUCACAGAGAGCAGAAAGGUCAAAACACUCCUCUGUUCUGUAGGCCUCAAUUAAAUAUGGAAGGUAAUACUUUAAGAUUUCUCUUACAGUGUCUCUCAAACUCUAUAUGUACUUGAUUUGCAUGAAUGUGUUCGAGCAUUAAACUGUCUACAUGCAUAAUGAAUAAAUGAUUAAUAACAGUAAUUGGUCAAAUGAAAAUACAGGACACGUACACACACAAGUAUGCAAGAUUAUUUUUGAUAAGUGCAUGCAUUUUAGGAAAUAUGUUUCUCGAAUAUGUUUAUAUUUUGAGCAGAAAAGUAAAAUAAAAAAUGUUUAUCAGUUUGUCAUGAGAGGCAGUGAUAUCUCUCAAUCUAGAUUACCAAUUUAGCACCACUAUGAAUCUAAUUAUGUUGCAUUCUGUGUAAUAUAAAAAGUCCUAACAAGAGUAAAAGUUAUUAUGUCCACAUGGAUAGGAUACAAUUGCAUAUGUAGCAUGAAAAUUGCACGUCACAGUAUAGUUGCUCGUCCAAGGUGAUUUAUUACCGAUUUCUCAUUCCUGUCGGGAGCCAGUCAUCAAAAGUUGUCCUUCAUUCAUCAACCACACAUUAAUACGUAGUAGUUUAGAAAGGAAGAAAACAAAUGGUUGUUAACAAAUAAUUACUAUCAGGAAUCAGGAUAUAGAUGUAAAGAUAUUCUAUAAAGAUAUUGUAAUUUUUAGUUUACAAGCAUUUGUUUUCUCAAUUUCUGAUAUACUACUAUGUAUAUAGUUUGAUAAUUAAUGUAUCUCUUUCCUGUCUUCUCUCUCUCUCUCAUAUCGUGUUAACUCACUGCCAAUGGAACAUAUUUGUGGUUUCUGUCAUGAAUCCAAGCUGCUGUCAACACUCUCCGGGUGCAGUUUUAACUUUCAGAUCUUCCCCCUCUGUCCCCAAGGCGCAAAGUCAAAUCAUGAGAAAUUAAAUAAAGGAGAAAAUAUAAUAAAUGAAUUGAUAGAGCGAGUGAGAGAGUGGUCACAUCACACAACACUGCAGGAAGUCUUCCUCCAGUCAAUCAUAACCGUCAGCCUACUCAGCUUCCUGCGCAGCAAAUCUCAUUUGCUGCCUCUGCUCCCUCGCUGGUGAGACUAUAAAGGGGGAUGUGGGGAUAAUGUGCAUUAUUACUUUUAUCCAAUGUAAGUGAGGCAGGCCAAUAAUUGCGCAAUGUUGGAGUUUUAUUGUUCCCAGCUGCUGUGAUCAUUACUAAACGUCAUAGAGAUGCAACAUUUCCUGUCAACUUAACGACAGUAAUCACUUCCCUCUCCCUGUGCUCCCUCUCCCCUCACUCCACUGAAUACUCUGCCACCCAGCCCAGCCCUGCGAGGUGCGGAGAUGAGGCUUCUUCAUCAUCUUUAUUGGAUUCCUACUCCAAACCAAAUCACGAACUGUUCCUGAGUGAGUUACUGAACCCACUGCACUCCGGAGCUUUCCUUCAACGCAAAACCCCCCAAAAAUCUGUCACGAUCAAUGUCGAGGAGCUUUGUAACAGGCGGCCUCUCUCUCUCUCUCUCUCUUGCUUUUCUUUACCCGCUCCCUGUGCAUCUGUCUGGCAGGUGAAUGCCCUGCAGACAGCACACCAACAGGCUGACUUUAUUUUCUGAAGGUGUUUCUGGGUUUGGCGGAAGCUUCACAGGUAUCACAGUUGAAGUGAGAGAAAAAGAUCUGAGGAAGGCCCACUCAUGCAGAUCCUGUCAGGUGUAUCCAGAAGCGUCCGAAGAUCCACAUGUAUGACUGCACCUACUCUUGUAAUUGCUGCCAUUCUGGUGGCAUCCCUCUUGCAUCUGGGCUGCUGCAGAUCUUUUAUCAGCACGGUGGAUCGUACCAUACGCUGGAAACAACGGCGGGCCGCACAGAUGUCAACUCAGAAGGCGAACACAGUCGUCACAUGUAAACAUCGUCACUCUUUCACUCAGACAAAUACACACGUAUACAUACUGCAUAUCGUUUUAUGGUAAAGAAGGGCUCUCUUCAAACACUCCUCUGCAUUCUCGCCUCCCCGUCAGCUCGGUGCGUGUGUUCAUCCUAAACUUUGCCUGGCUUUUGAUCUGAGCCACGGAUGGUACUCCUGUUUGCUGCCCCGCUCCCAACACCCACACAUGGGGUGUAAAGAGAAUUAUUCAUUGUUUUCACCACACAACAAAAGUGUUUGAGCUCAAAGAGCAGCUGCCUACACAUAGUUAAUUUAACAUUGCUGGGGCAGCAAGCCGCACAGAUGAUCUCCUGUUCUCUGCCAUUUCAUGAUAGUGGCACGCUUAUUAAAAAUAGAUGGCUGUGAAAUUAGCCAAAAGCAUGUGAAUUAAGAUCAAAAUGCAGCUGUGGCAUGUGGCCGAGAGACAGAAUUAGUUUGCAUUGAUAAAAAAGAGAUUCUUCGUCUUGAUUUGGAAAGCUUUUUUGAAUUAUAUUUUCACAAACUAUUUUGAUUGUUGAUUAAUCGUUUCUUUCAGUCAAAAUAAAAUUUAGAACCAUAA